GGGGAAUAUUGCGCAAAGGGCGAAAGCCUGACGCCGCGACGCCGCGUGAAAGAUGAAUGCCCGAUGGGGUGUUAAACUCUUUUUUAAAGGAAUAAAAUGAGGGGCGUGGGGCUUAUUUUUUGUUUCUUAGGGAUAAACAUCGGCGUACCUCCCGCCCAGCAGCCGCGGUAAUACGGAGGAUGCAAGCGUUAUCCGGAUUUAUUGGGUUUAAAGGGAGCGUAGGCGGACUAUUAAGUCAGCUGUGAAAGUUUACGGCUCAACCGUGAAAUUGCAGUUGAAACUGGUCGUCUUGAGUGCAGUAAAGGUGGGCGGAAUUCGUGGUGUAGCGGUGAAAUGCUUAGAUAUCACGAAGAACUCCAAUUGCGAAGGCAGCUCACUGGAGUGUAACUGACGCUGAUGCUCGAAAGUGUGGGUAUCAAACA
rnacentral:rRNA from 1 species